AACGAACGCUGGCGGCGUGCCUAACACAUGCAAGUCGAACGGGAAAACCCGCAAGGGUGAGUACAGUGGCGCACGGGUGCGUAACACGUGGGUAAUCUGCCCAGAAGCCCGGAAUAACUCCCCGAAAGGGGUGCUAAUGCCGGAUGAGACCACGGGGACUUCGGUUCCUGGGGGAAAAGGUGGCCUCUGUAUACAAGCUAUCACUUCUGGAUGAGCCCGCGGCCCAUCAGCUAGUUGGCGGGGUAAUGGCCCACCAAGGCUACGACGAGUAGCUGGUCUGAGAGGACGAUCAGCCACACUGGAACUGAGACACGGUCCAGACUCCUACGGGAGGCAGCAGUGGGGAAUCUUGCGCAAUGGGCGAAAGCCUGACGCAGCAACGCCGCGUGUGUGAUGAAGGUCUUCGGAUCGUAAAGCACUGUCGGGAGGGACGAAUAAGGGCCGGGUGAACAAUCCGGUUCGACGACGGUACCUCCAGAGGAAGCACCGGCUAACUCUGUGCCAGCCGCCGCAGUAACAC
rnacentral:rRNA from 1 species